rnacentral:rRNA from 1 species
CUACGGAGGGUGCAAGCGUUAUUCGGAAUCACUGGGCGUAAAGGACGCGUAGGCGGGUUGGCAAGUCAGAUGUGAAAUCCUACAGCUUAACUGUAGAACUGCAUUUGAAACUGCUAACCUAGAGUAUGGGAGGGGGAGAUGGAAUUAGUGGUGUAGGGGUAAAAUCCGUAGAUAUCACUAGGAAUACCGAAAGCGAAGGCAAUCUUCUGGAACACUACUGACGCUGAGGCGCGAAAGCGUGGGGAGCAAACGGGAUUAGAAACCCUUGUAGUCC